UUAUACCGUGAAACUGCGAAUGGCUCAUUAAAUCAGUUAUCGUUUAUUUGAUAGUACCUUACUACUUGGAUAACCGUGGUAAUUCUAGAGCUAAUACAUGCUAAAAACCUCGACUUCGGGAGGGGUGUAUUUAUUAGAUAAAAAACCAACGCCCUUCGGGGCUCCUUGGUGAUUCAUGAUAACUCAACGGAUCGCAUGGCCUUGCGCCGGCGACGGUUCAUUCAAAUUUCUGCCCUAUCAACUUUCGAUGGUAGGAUAGUGGCCUACCAUGGUGGCAACGGGUAACAGAUUAUUAGGGUAAGAUACUGGAGAGGGAGCCUGAGAAACGGCUACCACAUCCAAGGAAGGCAGCAGGCGCGCAAAUUACCCAAUCCCGACUCGGGGAGGUAGUGACAAUAAAUACUGAUACAGGGCUCUUUUGGGUCUUGUAAUUGGAAUGAGUACAAUUUAAACCCCUUAACGAGGAACAAUUGGAGGGCAAGUCUGGUGCCAGCAGCCGCGGUAAUUCCAGCUCCAAUAGCGUAUAUUAAAGUUGUUGCAGUUAAAAAGCUCGUAGUUGAACCUUGGGCCUGGCUGGCCGGUCCGCCUCACCGCGUGUACUGGUCCGGCCGGGCCUUUCCUUCUGGAGAACCACAUGCCCUUCACUGGGUGUGUUGGGGAACCAGGACUUUUACUUUGAAAAAAUUAGAGUGUUCAAAGCAGGCCUUUGCUCGAAUACGUUAGCAUGGAAUAAUAGAAUAGGACGUGCGGUCCUAUUUUGUUGGUUUCUAGGACCGCCGUAAUGAUUAAUAGGGAUAGUCGGGGGCAUCAGUAUUCAAUUGUCAGAGGUGAAAUUCUUGGAUUUAUUGAAGACUAACUACUGCGAAAGCAUUUGCCAAGGAUGUUUUCAUUAAUCAGUGAACGAAAGUUAGGGGAUCGAAGACGAUCAGAUACCGUCGUAGUCUUAACCGUAAACUAUGCCGACUAGGGAUCGGGCGAUGUUACUAUUUUGACUCGCUCGGCACCUUACCGAGAAAUCAAAGUUUUGGGUC
rnacentral:rRNA from 1 species